rnacentral:rRNA from 1 species
GACAGAGGUGCCGAGCGUUAGGCGGAAUCACUGGGCUUAAAGCGUGUGUAGGCGGGCGGGCAAGUACCUUGUGAAAUCCCACGGCUCAACCGUGGAACGGCUGGGUAUACUGCCUGUCUUGAGCCAACUAGGGGCGAGCGGAACAGACGGUGGAGCGGUGAAAUGCGUAGAUAUCGUCUGGAACGCCAAAGGUGAAAGCAGGCAGCUGGGGGAUGCACCGACGCUGAGACACGAAAGCCAGGGGAGCGAACGGG